UUUUUUUUUUGGGUUCUUACCAGCACGAGGGAAAUCCGCCACCGGGAUGAUUCAGUCUGGGCACUCUGGAUCCUGAUCGAUGAUGGAUGCCGGAAAGGGUUAACAGCAUAUCUGGUCUGUCCAAAUUUCAUCAUCAAUUACUCAAAAAACCAAAGCAUCCUCCAUGGUCCUUUACAAAGGCAAAAAUGAAAUUCGAAUCUUAGAUAUCAACUUGUUGUUUUCCAUUGUUCUUAUUUUAGACAUAUUUUUUUGAUUCUAUGAAAAUGAUCCAAAUUUAACGUUGUUACCUAUUAGAGUAGGGGACACCCACCCCAACCAAAAACUGGAUUGGGAUUAGAGUAGGGGAUAUUCUCAGAGGAUGAGAGUAGCAUUGUGGGCAACAAUGUUGAUGAGGAUGCUCCUAUCCAUGUCAAACGUGGCAGAUCCAGGAGCUUGACGAUGAUUCACCGUUAAUCUAGAUGAAUCCCAGACGACCAUAUGAUGAACUUGGGUAGGAGGAGAGGAGAUAAAAGGCAAAUGCAUACCUGAGAAAGCAGAGGUCACCUGCGAAAAGGAGUCAUCAGUGGCUCAAGGGCAAGAAGAAAAUUUCAGGGAGAAAAGGAGCUACUAGAUUCCACACAAAUGGCAAGGUGUGGAAGAGAACUAGGCAUUGGGGUCGACCUAUUGGUUAGAAUUUCGGUGGAAAUUGGCAAUCAAGUCCAUUGGCAGCCAAACAAGGUUAUCACAGGAAUCCAAUUCCAAUUUUGUGGUUCCAGCGUCAAUUCAUAAGAGCCAAAUAACAAGGUGUAAAUAUUAUUAAAUAUAUCAUCAUAUUAACUCGUGCCGGCACACAAGCGCUUUGAGCAACUACUUUGGAGCACAUGGUAUGUUAGCACAAAAUACAUUUCUACCGCGCACCAUCCAUGAUCGCAGGAUUACCACUGGACGCGUAAACCAGUAGCGGAAGUAGAGUUGAUGAAGCCCGCCGAUGUCGUAGAAGUAUUGUCAUCUCCUCCUCGUGGAUAGCCCAUAUGGUUUAUUCAAGCAGCACCUUCAAAAUAUCUACACGUACACGGAGAAACAUCGAACGAUUGGUUUAGUCAUGGAGGUGGUGAUAGCCGGAUUGUGUCUAACACUCGCUGAAAGAUCGGUAUGGUCGACUACAAGGGGGGGUGAAUAGCGAUUAACAAAUUUCAACUUUUCUUCUUCUUCUUUUCUUUGAGAGAUAAAAGCAAUUAGUCCUAGUGUUUAUUAGAUUCUCUAAAGUGAAUGCAAAGCUAGUAUGAAAUGCAGUAACCGAAGCAAUAGCCGAAGCAACAAGAAAAACAAUAUAACUUGCAAGUAACUAAAGGGUGAAAUUGAGAGCCUUUUUACUGUACCCAUUAAUUAGUAUGGACCGUCCAAUUAGCUUGAUCUAACGUUCAAUAUGACUUGGUACUCCACCCUCGUUUCUACGGAGUACCGAUUUGAAAAGUUAUGGAGUGCGUCCAUUAAAAAGGGCAAAACUGUAAUCAACCCACAACGGGCCGCCGGCGUGACUCUAUGGCUUCUUCCAUAGCAUGGGAUGAGCGACCGAAAUCCCCAACCAGUGUCUACGAGCGUAAGCCGGCGAGACUUUGCGGGGGACAUGGGAUAAGCGACCAGAAUCCCCAACCAGCGUCUACGAGGGUAAGCCGGCGAGACUUUGCGCUUAAGCACUGGCGGCCGCGGCGGAACCAAAGGCGUGGCGCGGUGGCCAUCAGCGGCGGCUGCGGCGGCGAGCAGAGAGCGGGACGCGGGGGCCAUCAGCGGCGGCGGAGUGGAGCGCGAGAGGCGGUGGCAAUCGGCGGCAGCGACGAAGCGGAGGGUGGGACGCGGGGGCCAUUUUAACGCUGCCAUAGAGGGAGGUUGAUCCCGUUGUGGACUGUGCCGUCCGCAUCAGCAUGCUGGCGAGGACGAGAAACGGGAUGGCACCACCGUGAGAGAUGCAAAGACGGGAAGCCAGAGAAGUAGCUGCUCUGCCGGUCUGCCGAUGUGUAGCACGUACGUGAAAGAGAGCAGGCGGCCAUGGCGUCCGGCUGGACCGCAGGAGGAAGACGAUGUGCCGUGCGUUCGUUUGGGAAUAGACGGGGAUGUGACCACGUACCACUUAGUUUUUCCUUUUCUUUCCACCCCCGGCAAAGAAAAUUAAUUACCAUGCAUUGCAUUGGGAAGGAAAAAUUCUUAAACACCCUUUUAAUCGAACGGCCAGAUUUGCUUUGUACUCCCGCCUCUUUAUAUGGAGUAUCAGGGUACCGUAAAUACCAGCAUAUUUGACGCACUUUGUUUUGACAAAUUGGUGAUCGGAUGAAGUGCCGUGGACUUCUCUAUUUUAGUUUCUAAGCUCAGCUUUUCUUUCCCAUUUCUCUAGUCCUUUUUCGUGUUUGCUGUAAAAAAAAUCUAUAACUAACUUUCCAUUUUAAAUGGAUAUCCACAAUGGCUAUAAUUCCAAGGAAAGCAGUAGCACAAAAUUGUGACGAAAUACAGCAGCAGCAAAGGGUUUAGAAGCUGCUAGCAUAAACAAAAGCACAUAGCAUUAAUAAGCCUCUGUCAAAAUUAGAAGCAGGUUGACGCCCUUGGUCUGGGUGAAUUGAUGUGGGGCUUGGAUAGCAAAAUUGUGAUGGGUACCUUUUGACUCUCUUUAGUUCAACUAAAUGAACUAAAAAUUUAAAAUGACACAACUUUUUUAAAAACUAGUUCAUUUGUUUGAACUAAGAAGGGUCACAGGGUACCCUGAAGGUCACCAUGUUGCACCCCCAGGCUUGGAUGAUUUGCCAUAGGCUUUCCUAUUUUAGUUCCUAAGCUCAGUUUUUCUCUCCACUCCUCUCUAGUCUAUUUUCGUGUUUGGUGUAAAUUUUCUGGUCAAACUCGUUUCGACCAUCUUGGUGAUAACGAAAUGUUAUGUCAUUUUGCAAAAUAAAAAUAAAAACAGCAGCAGCACCGAAACAAGGAGUGAGUGCUGCUAUCAAAAUAAAGUUUCUCAGACAUAACAACACUUGCAAUAUAACAAACUAAUAUUCAGGCAGGGAAGGAAAACAUGAAAGCAUAAAACCGCAAGUAGAACGAUAUUCAAAGUUUCAUAAGCAAAUAUUAUGCAACUCAAGCAAAUGGGGUUUAUCAUAAUCAAGGAGAACGAUAUUCAAAGUUUCAUGGUAGUUCUUUGCUUCCCAAAGCAACUAUUUCCGAAAGAAACGAAUCCCAGCAAUGCCAGAUAAUCUGAACUAAAUGAAAACACCAUCCGGUCGGGUAUUAGAUUAAGGAUAACUAAACAUCAUAACAUAAGAACAAAGAUGCAUCAUCACAGUCACAAAGUUCUAGCCAGUUUUCUUGAGUUAAAUAGCUUCAUAAGUUGGAAGAUAUCGAGUUAGGAUCUCUCUCAUCUCUUCGCCAUCAGGAUCCACUCCCUCGCAGUUGACUCUAUUGUAGCCGGUUUCAUGACGAUCUGGAAUUUCAUCAUCUGACAGAAAAUCAUCUUUGCAGUCUAUAAGUAUAUUGUGAAGGAGACAACAGACAAGAAUCAAACUUGGCAACUUAUUCUUAUCAGGCCUCCAAAUGACUUUGUCCAAGAUCCUCCAGCAGCCCUUCAGCUUGGCUAAAGCUCUUGUUCCAAGCAUCCUUGCUGCUUUUUGGUGAUCAUUGAAGUUGACCAUUGGAGCAGACGGAUCCUCUUCUUCAUAUGGAGUCAUUAGCCAGGGGAGCAGAGGAUAACACUUGUCACCAACAAUGAACUCCCUUAUUUCGGCAGCAUCCUCCUUGCAGCUGGAACCUCUGACAGGACCAUCCAAGCAUUUCCCAGCUUGACAGAGCUCGUAAAACUGAGAGAAUUCCAACAUUUUCUCAAACGGCAGGCUGCCAGGAUAACCGGUGACAAUAUUAAUAAACCUCAUCUCAUCAUCAAAAAUCCCUUGAAGGAGCAUGCUAUACUUCUGCGCGGGGUCGCGCCAAUCUUCAGAUGACUUCGCAUUAGGAAGCGUCAUAACUAUGUGGGUGGCAUCAAUUGCACCGCAGCAAUUCGGUAGACCGGACAAAGCCUCCAGAUUAGAUUUGAUUUCUUCCAUUCUCGCCCGGUUGGGCCACACCAGAUGAUGGCGAGCAUUGCGUUCCAUGGACUGGAUGAACCUCCAUGUCACUUGUGAAACAGUAGACUGCCCCACGCCAAAAGCAGCCCCCACUGACAUCUGUGAAUCACCGGAUGCCAGCCUCCAGAUGGCAAUUGCAACUUGCUUCUCCACCCUAAGCAGUCUUCCCUCGAUCGUGAUCAGCCCUGGUGGUGGCAAUGAGAUCAAAUCCUUCCUUACAAUCGAGCAGAUGUAGGCAAAGGUACUCUUCGACAUCCUAAAGAAGUGCCUGAAUGCUUCCUCCUGCUGAUCUGAAUGUGGUGCACCUUCACCUGUCCAUGGACGUGAAUCAAAAAUCAAAAUCGGAUGCACGCACAUAGUCAGUCAGAAGAUUUGAAUGUCUACGUCUGUACUGUCUUCCUAAAAAAAGUCAGAAGAUUUGAUGUAUAUACCGACCUGACUUGGCCUGCCUAUCCAGGAAAGUGCACCACCACUCCCAGUCGGGGCCGCGGAGCUCCGCUGCCAUCGUGCCAUCGGACUUGGCGCUCUUAAGCUUGCCGGAGUCCUUAGUCUUCCGCGUGCCAGAGUUCAUGAUCUUCCGUUCGCCCUUCUUUACCGGCGGCAUCUUUCGACCCCUCUCGGUCUUGCUCUCGCCCUCAUCAUUUUUCUCUUCCUGUUGUUUGCGUAGGGCAAGCAUUGUUCUGCCAGCAACACUGAUUGGUGGGACCAUGCAAAUACAAGUAUAAUCAUGAUUUUUUAUUUGGAAAUACAGACGCAAAUUAUGAAGAUAGAAAGAAAGAAAAUAUCGGCAAAUAUGGUAAAUUAAUUAAUUAAUUAACAAAAGCAGUGGCUAAUCCGGGCAUUCUGUUAGUUGCAUCAUUUUGUUUUUUUCUUCCAGAAUACACCAAAGCUGGUGUAUAUCAUCCAUUCAUAGAAGAAAAGCUUCCAUGCAGCAAAGUUUAAUUACAAAUGCGGCUCUUAGCCGGUAUCCCUGCACCCUACAGGAUCAACCCCGAAAGAAUCAACUAAAUGGUCAUCAAGGAUGCCAGCUUGCCGCCAACAUCCUUUCGUUAAUCAUGUUGAUUAAUAGUAGUUUCUUCUUUAAUUUUUCUAGAAUACUUUCUUCUUUAAUUGGGAACAAUGAAAAUUGUAUUGCUAAGUGCAUAUACAAUGCGUGAGGUCACCCUUUUUUUAACGAUGUCACGUUGAAUAAUUGUGACGUGGAAGAAAGAGAAAUGAAUAAAGUCGAUCUCUUCACAAAGAGGAUAAGACAAAGAUAAACAAAUUUUCCAUUGUACUAUAUUUCACAUUUUCUUAACAUUUAUUUAAUUGAUUUUAUCCGCCUAAGCAUUAACUAUAUGAUAUGGCACUAAGAGAUAUCUAUUCCACAACAUGUUUUGUUGUCUUUUCUAAAUGACGUGGAACACAUAAAAGAUUUUUAUCAACCAUUGUACAUGGUGAUUUCUACGGUACCUAAUACUCCCAUAGAGCAGAUGGAGUAUUAGGGAAGGGUAGCAUUGACUUUUCACAUCUAAUAAAAUAAAUCAAAAUAGUAAAUUCUUCAGAACCCCGCGCACCGUCCAGCUCCAGCGCCGGUGGGUCCUCCAGGGCCGCUGCCGCCCUCAUCGCAGCGGCCGGCGCUGGCCUCCUCCAGCGCCACCGCCCUCCCUCGCCAUCCCCAAGCGCCACCGCCUCCGUGCUCCGCGCCGCGCGCCGCUGCCGGACUCCGACGCCCGCACCGUCGCCGCCUUCUUGCCGCGGCCGCCGCCCUCCUCCGCCGUCCCCUAGCCCACACUGCCAGCGCCUCCUUGCAGCGGCCGCCGCCGGCGCCGGCGCCGACAGGUCAUCCCGCGGCCACCGCCUCCUCCCCGCGUCUGCCACCCGGCUUCCGCACCGUCCCCCAGCGUCGCCGCCGCUCUCCUCCAUGCCGGCGCAGUUAUCCACGUAGCUUGCCGGCGAUGCCCUCGUAGCGGCAGCUGUUGCGCUUUUUUUUUUUCAGUUGGUUUGUUUACUUUUUUACCCUUGUUUCUUGAUACCCAUGCAUCUAAGUUGAAGUAUUACGGAGUAACAGCGAAUCUAAGCCUUUAGAUUAAAAAAAUUGACGGUUCACAUUAAUCUUGGGGUACCGGAGAAAAGCUCUUGUAAAUGCCCUAAAACUUUGGAAUAAAUUAAAAUUUGAGAUAGUACUUACUUCUAGGACUAAGUCAUAUCAAAAGGGAUCAAGUCAUAUUGCGGUAAAAACAUAUAAAUCAAACUAAAGGUAUCACAAGGGGAGCAGUCCUUACCCAGUCGGAAAAGUUGUUCCAUCCUCCAUUCUGCUGGGCAUGAAGCCACGCAAAUCACGAAGAGCGAUGCCUAUGGUUCAAUCUGGAAAAAUGGUUCGGGAACCAGCAACAGAAACAACAUAUCAGGAGAAUGCAAGGAUAAUGAAGAAGCACCAAUGCUUGCCAACUGGCAGCGCAGCCUAUGCGGUAAGGAUAAUUAAUUAAGAACUAACACAUGUAUAUGCCUGAGAUUUGUAAGUGCGUGUUUUACUGGUACAUCUACAAGAAGUGCUUUCAACUAAAUGAAAAUCCAUGAACAAGUAGAAAGACAAAAAAUAGGUGGCUGGAACCAAUGCACCUACUUAACCUUCAAAGAAGAGUAAUUUGUACUGUACUAUUUUAUACUUGCAGCCUUUACUGAUCUUGUAACCAGUAACUUUCAAAGGAAGUGUACAAGAAACAACAGGCAUGCCAACCACAUGCGUAUAAUCACAAUCUGAAUUCUUGAAAAUAUCAACAUUUUCAGUUCUUAUUGACAUAUACCCCCGACUCAAGCAGAAACACAAAAAAUUUCAACGAAUAUUAGAAGGAAAAAAGUUUCAAAACUUCAUCAGCCACUGGAUUGGGUUGGUUUGGCUUGAAGAUAUAAAAUAAGAAAAACCCGAAUUUCGUUGUAGAAGGUUCCACGAUACCCUAAUUGACAUAGUAUAACAAUUUGGCCAGGCCCAUUGCACAUGGGGAGCGCGCUCUCUCUCUCUCUCCUGAUUUUUUUAAUGAUUGAUAUAUAAGAACAUCGAGAUGCAAAGCUUUUUGAGUUUUCUCGGAAGAAAAGAACUGAUACUGCACUCAGUUUUAGCCUGUGCCUUGCGCAAGAUUUAAACUGAUAAGAAUAGACGUUGCUGCCUUGAUUCUUUGCUCGGUUGAUGAUGGUGUAAAACCUACUUGAAGAAUUUCAAGUGUAAACUUGCACUAUAAAAACCAGAUGAGGCCCGAAGUGGGGGCCUACUUGGGGUUUGUCAAGAAAGAUGGUGGUUUUCAUCCGUGCUUAAAUAAGCAAAGGCUGAAAAGCACGCCAACGGACAGAAUCAGUGUCUAGGUAAUGCCACCAACCAAUUGUCCGUAGAAAGUAGUUCGGAUUGAUUAGAUCCAUUCCAAAAAAAUGAAUUUUGAAAAAAUAGCCUUUUUGUCAAUGAUCGAUCCCUUUCCUUCGACCGAGUCGAAGUGAUUUGCUCAAAAAAUACUAUCCCCCUCCCAAGCUCAAAAGGGUAUUAUCGACUUUUUGCAUUGGUGAAAAGAUUAAAUAAAAAAAUCUUCUCAUCUUCCACCAGGGCCGUCCUCGCCACGCCGCUGACUCCUCCUCGCAACGGCGACGCCGCCUCCCUCCUCCAGCACGCCGCUGCCUCCCUCGUCAGUAGCCGUCGCCUCGGAAAAAGCCAAGAAAUGUGAGCUGCACGGCAAGCCGACAGCAGCGGACGUAGAGUUGUUUCGGACGGGCACAUACCUUAUCCUAACAAUGGAUCUGGGUCAGAGAGGCAACGGGCCGUGUCGGGAAAGUUCUCGAGGAGGAGAUCAGCGAUGUGGGCGGUGGUGUUGAGGAAGUUCCAAUCCACGCCGAACGCGGCCAGAUCCAGUAGGUUGACGAUGAUUCACCGUGGAUCUAGACGAAUCCCGUCGAAUACAAGCAGGAGUUGGGUUGAGGAAUGAGACAAGAUGAAACCUAGAAGGAAAGGAGAUGAAAAAGGAAAGGCAUACCUAAGAAAGGAGAGGUUAUCAGCAGCAAGGAUGCCCGCCAGCGGCGAGGAGGAUUUGGGGAAGAUGCGCCAUCGUGAGGGGCUCGGGGGCAAGAAGAAAAUUUUAGGGAGAAAGAGGGAUUUGAGGAGGGAUUUGAGGUUCCACACAGAUGACACGGUAUAUAUGGAGAAGAACUAUACAUGGAAGUAGAACCGUUCGCUGGAAUUUCGUUGAAAAUUAGAAAUUCUCAAUUCGAGUGGCAGCCAAAGGGUUAUCUCGGGGAAUUCCAAUUUUGUGAUUCCAGUGUCAGUUUAUGUGAGACAAACGAGGUACAAAAUGUUAUUGAAAUACAUUGCCUUGUUAACUCAUGCUGACACACAAGUUAGCUAUGAGCAACUACGUUUCUCAUCACAAUUACUUAAAGAUCCAAUAUAUUUACAUGUUUAUAUUUAUAUAGACUUGGAAAUCCUAUAUAAUACCAAGGGUAAUUAUUCCUGUCCGUCAGCUGUUGAUGUCAUCUUCACAUGUCCCCAGUGAUCAAGCCUCCAUGUGGUGCUACUGGGAAGAGAAAAGCUGGGUUCACCUUAGACUCGACUCGACCUUAGACUUGAAAUAUAUUAAAUUUAUUUGACUAGUUUUUGUCCAGAUUAUCUAGUUCUAGGUUGUUUCUUUCAUUGGUAUCCAGUUCUUCUACAACGAUGUUGCCGAAUUUUGAACCAUGUGAAAGUCAUCGGAGAGUUGGCUCCUGCCAACAAACUACCAGAUAAAUAGUGCCAUUCUAAUCCAUCUAUUAUUCUUCAGGCCAAAUACUCAAUUAAUAUUAAUCCAGCCACCACCACAUCGAACAGAUAUUGGUACCUACUAUCCUUGUCUUCACUGUUCUUUUGCCCCACCUGUAAGUCCAGGUGAGGGUUGCCGGGAGGAGCUCCACUACUCGGGCUAGGAACGUUGCGGGGAAUAGCAUGCCUUGACCUUGCCGAGUCGGCAUCUCCCGGGCUGUGUUUGCGGGAAGGUGUCCUUCUUGUUCUGGAUCUUGGCUUUGACGUUGUCAGUGGUGUCAGAUCUCUCAACCUCCAAUGUGACGGUCUUGGCAGUGAGUGUCUCUCGUAGGCCUGCUGACUGUCCUUGCGGGGGGAGCUUCCCGGGCAGGGCGCUCCCCGGGCUCGCCCUGCCCGGGAAGCUGACCUUGCGGGAUCUUGGCCGUCGCGACCCACGCGUCCAGCAUCAGUGGGACCCCAUGGGCCACUGGUGCGACAUAAAAUGAAACAAAGAACAUUAGCAACACAUCAGGCUGCAAAUAGCUAAUUCACAUCAGGCAUGGGGCAGGGAUCCAUCUAAUUCACCACAGAUUGGCACUAGGUUAGUGCGUUUUGAGGAGAAUGCUUUCAGGCAGACACCCACCCCAGCCAAAAACUUGAUUGGGAUUAGAGUAGGGGCUAUUCUUGAGGAUGAGAGUAGCAUUGUGGGCAACAAUGUUGAUGAGGAUGCUCCUAUCCAUGUCAAAAGUGGCGAGAUCCAAGAGCUUGACGAUGAUUCAUCGUUGAUCUAGAUGAAUCCCUGAGGACCAUAUGAUGAACUUGGGUAGGAGGAGAGGAGAUGAAAAGGAAAUGCAUACCUGAGAAAGCAGAGGUCACCUGCGAAAAGGAGUCAUCAGUGGCUCAAGGGCAAGAAGAAAAUUUCAGGGAGAAAAAGGGCUACUAGAUUCCACACAAAUGGCAGGGUGUGGAAAAGAACUAGGCAUUGGAGUCGACCUAUUGGUUAGAAUUUCGGUGGAAAUUGGCAAUCAAGUCCAUUGGCAGCCAAACAAGGGUAUCACAUGAAUCCAAUUCCAAUUUCGUGGUUCCAGCAUCAAUUCAUAAGAGCCAGACAAGGUUAUCACAUGAAUCCAAUUCCAAUUUCGUGGUUCCAGCAUCAAUUCAUCAGAGCCAAACAAGGUGUAGGUAAUAUUAAAUAUAUCGUCAUAUUAACUCGUGCUGGCACACAACUACUUUGGAGCACAUGGUAUGUUAGCACAAAAUAUAUUUCUACCGCGCACCAUCCAUGAUCGUAGGAUUACCACUGGACGUGCAAAUCCGUAGCGGAAGUAGAGUUGAUGAAGCCCGCCGAUGUCGUAGAAGUAUUGUCAUCUCCUCCUCGUGGAUAGCCCAUAUGGUUUGUUCAAGCGCAAAACAGGUGCAACACCUUCAAAGUAUCUACACGUACACGGAGAAACAUCGAACGACUGAAUGCUAGGUAAAAUCACUCAACCUAGUCGUGGAGGUGGUGACAGCCGGAUUGUGUCUAACACUCGCUGAAAGAUCGGUAUGGUCUACUAGAGGGGGGGUGAAUAGCGACUAACAAGUUUCACCUUUUCUUCUUCUUUUCUUUGAGAGAUAAAAGCAAUUAGUCUUAGUGCUCACUAGAUUCUCUAAAGUGAAUGCAAUCCUAAUAUGAAAUGCACUAACCGAAGCAACAAGAUAAACAAUAUAACUUGCAAGUAACUAAAGGGGUGAAAUUGAUACAACACGGGAGACGAAGAUUUGACUUUGGAGUUCCACCUUUUGAGAGGUGUACGUCUCCGUUUGGAGGAGUGAUCUACCACAAAGGUAGAGGCGCCACAAAUGCUCACUCUAUUCUCCUCUCGCAACACCACAAAGGCGAGGUGAGGUCCACUAAGUGGUUUCCUCGAGGGCGAACACGAAACCCUUACAAACUUGACUGGGACACCACUUCACAACUCAAUUGGAGGCUGCUAAUCCAAUCCUCAAGCUCAAUAACACAAGUAUGAGCAUGAGGCAACCGCUUCCGUCUAGUGUUCUCAAGAACCCCAAACACAUGAAAUCCAUAAAGGAAAAAGGGGAAUCAACUUUCUGAUUUGAUGAACCCUAGAUCUUGCUAUUCUCCUCCUAUCCUCAAAGUAUUGGCUUGGGGGAGCAACUCAGGAGAGAGAUCAAGGGAGAUGAAGUUCUUGUGUUCUUCAAGUGAGAGAGUGACAGUUCUUGGCUUGUGCUCGGGCAAAGACCCGUUGGGGACGAAGGGGUAUAUAAAUGAAGUCCCCAAAAUCUAACCUUUAUGUGAUGCGAAGCGAGGUGCGGAACUUCCGCGGAAUCACUAAAAGUUCUCCGACCCUGGAAGUUUCGCCCAAGUUCCGCAAUUUAAUUGGAGAGAAAAUUACUUAAAACCACCACAAUUGAGGCAACUGUCUAGGAAAACUACCUUUUUUUCUUUUGCAAAUUGCCACCACUUUUGAGGCAAGAGUACUCUCGCGCACUGAUUUGCUGGUUGAUCACAUUUUGACAGAAAAACUGACAGUGGGGCCCGCAUGUCAGGUCCAAUGUGUUAUUUUUUCGAUUCAACGUGGACUUUUCCUCUGCCACGAGGUCGUCAACGCUCUGGGUCCGGUUCCCCUACCCCAACAAAUGCUACACCGCCGGCGGCCAGUUCCCCUGCCCGCGUCGCCUCGGACUCCGGCAGCUCCCCGUCGCCCUUGAGGAGGCUCCGACAGGUGACUUUCCGCGCUACGCGUCGCUGUGCCAGCCAAGGAAGAUCGCCAUGCUGCCUCCGGCGAAGGCACAAGGCGAAGGAGGCGACAUCCCCCAAAUCAAGUAGGGCGUCGGCGUCAAGGAGACGCGGUGGCGGCCGAGAGCCCGUGGGGGAGAGCCAUGCGGUGCCCAGCAGCGAUACUGCUCCUGCCGGUGGCGACGAGAGCGCGGGGCGUGGGCGGCGCGAGCAGAGGCCGAGCUACGGGGCGGGCAAGAGGUCAGAGCGGGGUGCCGACGGGGAGCUCGCCUAGCGGCGGAGGAGCAACGCGGCGGGACCUGGGGUGUCAGGGGCGAGGACAAAGGGAGAUGGCGCGCUAGCACCUCUGACCGGAGGUAGGGAAGACGAGCUCAAAUAGGUCAGAGCUCCUCGCCCGCCGCCACGACAAUGCCUUCGACCGCCGGCGGGAACCUCACCCCCCGCCUCGUCGGAGUCAGCUGCCCUCUUCCUCCCACGGCGGACUCCCGCCAUGAAGCACGCAAGGACAGGAUCGACCUCGCUGAAGCCGGCAGUUCCGCCAUGAGCUCCUCCGCCGGAUCCAAGUCGAGGUCAGGUCCGGCCAUGGUGGACGCCUAGGCCAGCGUGGACCUGACAUGCGGGCCCAACUGUCAGUUUUUCCGUCAAAAUGCGAUCAACCAACGAAUCAGUGCGCGGGAGUACUGCUUGCCUCAAAAGUGGUGGCAAUUUGCAAAAAAUUAAAAAAAGGUAGUUUUCCUAGACAGUUGUCCCAAUUGUGGUAGUUUUAAGUAAUUUUCUCUUGAUUGGAAGUACGCACUGCGAACGUUUGCUGGACGUUGUGCAGAAGUUCCGGGGGUCCACCGGAACAUCCGGGGUUGGGAAGAACACACAACAAAUGGCACUUGAUUUCUGUUCUCUCUCACUUUGGGCAGACUUUAUGUGGGUGCAAAUAUGUGUAUUUGUGUACGUGAAAUUGAUUCACCCAUUACCUUAUCUUGUGGACUCUCUUUUCAUAGGACGGAAUUCGUACGGCUCAAUAAAAUUUAAAAGCCGUUAAACUCCACUACGCUUCUUUCCUUCUUGAGGGCAUCGAAUCGUCUUGCGUCAUUUGAUAUCAAAUCUGAAAUAAUUAGCGCACAUUAGUCCACAAGACAUGUUAUCAUCACGACCAAAAUCUUUAGGAAGGGAAAUGCCCUUUCACUUGCAUAGCCAACCACUGCCACAUGCUAAAUCAAUGUUGUUUGUCCAUUUGUCCGCAGACAUUUCUAUUUAUACCAAAUUUCAGAUUGAUUUGGCAAGUCAGGACAUUGUGAGAGAACACACCAUAUAAGUAAAUUUGACAUGUUUCCUUUGUAAAAAAAAAUAUUUUGUCCAUAUACCAAGUUGUCACACACACGCGCGCGCGCGCGGAUGAAUGCCAUAUCCAUCACACGAAGUAUGUUGUAGAUGCGCAUGAAGCCAUCAUCGACCGACAGCUUUGUUCCCCAUCUCAACAAGACGGGGAGGACCCCCCUCGAAAAGAUUCGGUGGAGGAGCACCGGCCGGACCUCAGCGCUCACGUCCAAUUCCGUCGCCUUCAUCAGCUCACUUCCUUUACAGAGCAUCAUGGCUGCCAAAGUGCUUGACGUGCCCCCACUUUAUUCAACGCGAUCUUCCGCGCCGUGCUCUCGUCCAGCGGGCGUCUCGUGCGGCCGUGUAUAUGCGUCGUUGGUACAGCGGACCCGAGACUUCCAGUUCCAGCCAGCCACGUUCCACACUCCACCGAGGAGCCGGCGGGUCCCGCGGCGAGAUGGACAAGCCGUUCCUGCCGCACUUGGCAAGAUCCGCAUACGAGUCCGUGCUUCCGUUCCUGCCGCACUUGGCCCGUUAUACACCGUAGGUCAUUAGCAGCAGCAGCAGCCCCGGCCCGACCAGUGGUCACGUCACAUCGUGUGUGUAUCCUGCGCGGCCGUGGCAAGCAGCACGCAGGCAAGGGCUCACGCGGGUUGCCCUGACGGACGGCGUGGCGCGACCGCUUUCCGCGCUCUGAUAGCGUGCACCCACCCACGAAUCGCGCUGCGGCAGUUGCGGCCCCCAAUCAAUAAAUUAACAGGAACCGUCCGGCCCGGGGACAAAAGGAGGACCACGCCAAACCCGGCGCGGCCCAGCUGGCCCGGCGUCACCUGCCUUUUUCCCACGGACGGUCCAGAUCAACCCCCCUCUCCUCACCCGGACCACACGAUGGAUCCGCGGGUCCCGCGAGCAGUCAGUGGCCCUGACGUGGACUCGGGAAGCGAACCUCCCCGGAGGGCACGCGCCGCACCCCGAUGAUAUAGGUUUAUAAAAAUCAAGCCAAAGGCGGAAAGAAAAAUAUAUUUUCCGGGGCGGCGGUAGUUGCGUUUUGGUUCGCUCAGAGAGGCAAGGGAUCUCUCUUGGUUGAGGGCAGGAGCAGAUGAGAUUGGUUGGAGAGGGACUGGUGAGGGAACGGAGCAAGCGACCUGGAAGAGGAGCAGGAGGAGGAGCAGGAGGAAGGGAUUUGGGAGGAGUGGUUGCCGCGUCGCCGUCGGCUGCCACUGCUCGCCCUCUUUUUAAUGCCCGCCUAGCCUGCCGCCGUCUUCUUCUUGUCUAGACUCUAGGCUGCUGCUGCUACACUGCGCGAGCGCUCUCUCCGGCUCUGGAGAGACUGGGGUGAUCAGGUACUUCGAAGCUUCUAGUAUUUCCUUCUUAUUUCGCUGGCUACAUGACAUGUUUUUCUGAGUGCGGCUCGGUGGCAGAUUGGAUUUGUCUCCGGGUUUUCUAGAUCGAUCUUGCUCUGGGAUUUACCGGCUUAUUUGAUCCGUGUUUUGGGGUAUUAGUGUUGUAGUAUUGGGUAGUAGUUAUCCUUUGGUGAAUUCGUUCGUAGUGGCAUAUUGGGGUGCUUCGCUCUCACGCUAGCCGCAAAGCUCGUGUGAAUGGGUCAAGUCUGGAGUUGUGCUUUUUGGCACAACACGGCAGAGUUGCAAGCGAGUUCUUAUUCGGAUGCUGCUGCGCUUUUACUUCUUUUUUUGGCCGAGAGUUAAUAGCUAGUGUGAAGCAAGAGUGCUCUAUAUGAUUUCGUUAUGAUUUUUGAUCUUGCUGUGCUCGCCCUGCCGUCAAUGAAUCGAGGUGUAGUAUUUCACAAAUGAAUCGCUACUUUUGGCUGGUAGAUAAUACUGGUAAUAGGGGUAGUAGCAGUAGCCAGUAAGUGAACCAUCAGUUCAUCAUUAACAAUUGCAGAUUUGUCCUUCACAUCACAUCAAAGUCUCGUAGUACCACCUUUGAAUUAAUAGUUCAAUACAGCACUAGAAGAAUUUUUAUCUUGUUACGGAAUGAAGGGUUUUUCUCCUACUAGUACUACCAGUUCCUUACGAUCUCUCCGUACCUUCUGCUGGUCUAUUCCCGGUUGGUAUGCGUUACUUGUGCUUUCUUGAGCUGUUUUAUGUUCCUGCCUCUUUUGGUGAGACUGACUACAGUUUGUACCAGAGAACAAAGAUUCCUUGCUGCUUAUCUGCGACACUGCAAGAUGUCGGUAGCCAAGAAGGAAGAGGUACUUGAAAUCUCCUUGUUGGAGGUCAAUUCUGACUGCUUGGAUGUCUCUUUUCUCCUCUCUAUGUGCAUAAAUUGUGGAUGUUCGUGAGCAGGUUUGCGGUCAUCCGCGGAGAUUGGGUGAGCCAGCUGUUGGUGUUCCUAUUAAGAAAAGGCCCGUUUUCUUGUCUGACAAAUCAGUUCCAUCUGGAUUAGUGCUCCCGAUGAAGCCAUCAUCUACAGCGACGGGGAUAUCUGUCUCAGCCGCAGGGGCAGGCUGUAGCAAGGAGCCUUUCUUGAAUCGAUCUAAAUCAGAUGUCCCCCAUCAAUCCGUUUCUCCAUUUGCGAGUGAGAAGAAUGGAGUGCUACUUAAUUUCUCAAGCGUGAACCCCUCUUGUGGAGAGAGUGGUAGAGGAAGGAGCGUUGCUCCCAUCGUCAAAUCACAGUCUGAGAAGUUCUUGACUUUAGAUCUACAGUUAACAUCUCGUGAAAAUUCCAAAAUCAAUAAUAGUUCCCCUGUGAAGAAAGAGAAAGUAGACCAGGUUAUUUCAAUCUUUCCUUCAGCAAGACCUCCCAAGGAUAUUCAAACAACACUUAGCAUGGAAUCUCCUACGAACAGUAGUUUGGGAAAACUAUCUAAUUUAGAUCUUAAUGUGUCAUUGGACCCAGUUGAUCACCUUGAAGGCUUGCCUGCAAUGCAGACGAGCUCUAAUGGACUAUAUCAUAGAACAUUUCAGCAUCAGAAAGCUCAGGUUCCCCUAGUGGCACCAAUUUCUACAACAAGAAGUGAACUCAGUCUAAACAUUGACAGUACUGUGAACCUGUCCAGUACAUGUCAAUUUUCUUGUAAGAGUGGAGAAGAUGAUGUCACCUUAGAUUUGCAACUUAAACCACCAACCAGGCCUGUGCUCGGAAUAAGCUGGAAAGGACUUGCUCCUGCUCCUGAGCUCAGUCUAUCUCUAUUUGGUAAUCACACAGAUGAGCCUAAGGAUCCAAGUGAACCUGAUGCUAUAUUCAAACCUGAACCUGUUGAAAGAGCAAAGAAGAUGAGUGGGGAGGUUGCCACACCAGGGUCUGACAAAUCACCAGUCGAGAAGAUUUUGAAACCUGUACCCUGUAAUGCAAACCCUCGCAUGACUUUGCCAUCAACAACAGUUCCUGGAAAUGUGAAUUUAAUGCCCAGUACUUUGGUGAAGAAAGAGCCUGAAGAACCUUCGUGGCAAAAUAUUCAAAAGAAUGCAGAAAAGGCACCCCUGUUUGAACAGCAAACUGUCGGGCUGGUUAGCAAUCGUGCAGAAUUUGAGAAAACUGGCGAUAUAAACCAAGUGCUUGGUGAAGCUAGCUUUGAUUUGAACUCUGAAAUACUUAGAAACAAUAGUAUCCACAAUGGACUAGAGGUAGUGACUGAUAAUGUUCCUGCACAAACGAACAUGUCAUGUGAUGUCGUUUGCACUGAGAAUAUGCCUGGUGUUUCUGAUGUCGAGAAAUUUAUCAAGCAAGAAGAAAUCACAGCAGAUACUCCGAGUCCAGUGAUUGCAACAGCCAGUGGCCAGCCUGCAUUAUCGAUUGCGAAAUCAUUGCUUUUGGAAGGUAAUGUUGGCAGACCUGCUGUUGGAUCAUGUGAAUCACCUGGACAGCCCACCAUUAUAGCACCUGCUGUUGGAUCAUGUGAAUCAGCUAGACAGCCCACCAUUCAUACUUCAGAACCUGCAUGCUGUAAUCCUGUUGAGGCUAGUACUGAUUGUGAACCAACAGUUAGUCAUGUUCAUGCUCGUGAAAAUAUGACAUACAAGUCUUGUGGUGCUAAAGUUUGUGAUAUAUCCCGAAGUUCCUCCAAACCUCUAGCGAAAUCUUUGGUGUUGAAUUGUCUGGACCGUGCUUCAUUUGAUGUUAUGUCUCAAGGGAGUGCUUCAAUGGACUGUUCAGAUGAUGGUGAUAAUGUUGUUUCACAGUUGCCAAUUACCAGCAAUCCUCAUGUUGAGUUAUUAGGGAACAGUCAAAACACUGAGACUAAUAACUUAAGCACAGAGCAUCGGAAAGAAGAUGACAUUGAUAUGCAUCAUGACUGUUCAUCCGUGAAAAAUAAGGUUCAUAUGCAGGGUAUUGACAAUGUCAAGCAUGUUAACACAAAAGAUGUUAUUGCCACUCUUUCAGGUGAGGAAGAGCAUGAAAGUGAGGUUAACGAGAAGUCCAAAGACAAACAGUUGCUGGCAUCAGAUAAGAGUUCCCCACCGAAUAAUACUGAUGUCGCCAUGCAAGAUGUUAAGAUUGCCACAGUUGCCAGUUCAGCAGAUCUCAAAAUGUCAUCAGCUUUGGGAACUUCAGCUUCGGCUGAAAUAGUUUCAACUGGGCAAUCUAACAAUACUUUUGAUAACUGUGCCGGGAAGAGUAGAAUCCCAAUGAUAAAAUCCGAAAGGAGCCAGUCUCCUGAUGGUAAACAAGCUGCUAAUUGUAGUGAGGGCAAUGCAAAAGUUGCUGCAGUUGCUGUAAAGAGUGAGCAUGGGACAGGAAACGAAGAGAUUGCUAGAACCUCUAAUUUACACCCAAGUGAUUCUAUUCUGGCUGAAGAUUCACAUCUAGAUGGAGCUUCUAGCAGUCAACCACAUAGUGAAUGUACAAAGUCAAAGUCGGCAUGUGAAGGGUCAGAACACGAAAAAUCCAAACCUGACUCUUGCAUGACAUCUUCUGUACAGAAUGAAAAAGAUGGACAGGUUAAUGUAUCACAUUGGCGAGAGGUGGCGAAUGCGUGUGUGAAUAGGUAUGACUCUUGAUUUUGUUAUUAUUGGUCAUGCUGCACUAAGUCAGACUGGAUUUUCCACAUCCAUAUGGUGUUUAGAUUUGCUGAUUUUACCUUUUACUAGUGUUACAGAAGGUUAUUUUUAACUUUGUCUCCGCAGGAAUGAAAGAUGGGAGAGGUUCAUGCAAUCUGAGCGAGAGAAGCAUAAUGAAGAAUAUCCUGGUGGCAGACAUGCAUCUGACAUGAUCAAUCAACGAAGGACAGAUCAUCGUUACAGUGGUCGUGGUGCUGGAUAUCAUGGCCAUCCAAGGAAUUUCCAAGGCCCGAGAAUGAAUGAUGAGUCUGAAAUUGACUUCACGGAUGGACCUUUGAUUGGCAGAAGACGCCCAUUUGAAAAUGGCAUUGGUCAUUUGCACCGAGUUCCACAUAGGCGGCUGCGCUCACCACCGAAUCAGAUGUCUGGCUGCCUGAUGAGAGAUAUGGACCAUGACAGAUUUUCUGGAAGAGACAUUCUGGACCCUAGGCUCUUGGCACAUGGUCAAAUGGAAGAUUUUCCAGAUGACAUGAUGGAAGAGAGCUUUUUCAUACACCACCCACAGCACGCACUAGGUGAUCAUCCAUUUAUUCGUAGGGAUAGGAGCCAUUCACCUGAGCAAAGAAGGGGUGCUCCUAUGCAUUUCCAUCGGGGACGGUCCCCUGAAGCGAUGCACAGACCACCACCAUUAAACAGAACUGACAGACCUUACUUGCCUCAUCAACGCCACACCCGUCGCCGUGGUUCACCUUUCGACCAGAUAGGACGUGAUGAGAGAGGCAUAAGAAGGUGUGGUAUGCAUCAAGGUGUGCAAGAUGAUGGUUUUGAGCCAUCUCUGCAUCCUGCUCAACUAGCUGAACUACAUGCAGAGGCUGAACUUGCAGAGAGAAGGAAGUUUGGGGAGAGGAGAGCGUACCGUCGAUCCUUGGAAGAGAGCCCUACUGGUAAUAAAGAGAUGAUGUCGUACCAUGGAGAAGGCGACAUGCACUUUACUGAAGGUGACGGCGUUCAACGGGAGGCUGAUGGCCGCUUCAGGAACAAAUUGGAGCACCGAGCUAGGGGUGAGCAAGAAGAUGGCUACAGGCACAGGGGUCCUCAAGGGUGGCGUGAUGGCAACUCCAAUGACAGCAGACCGAAGAAGAGGAGGUACUGACUGACCUAGUCUGGAACUGCCAUGGCUAUGAGUGAAUCUAGACUGAUAAAUAGUAGCCUUCCCGAUCAACUAUUCCUUCUCUAAACCAAGUGAAGAAGUAUUUGGCAACCAUAUCCUCUUCCUCCAUUGGUUUGUUUGUUUCGUUAUUUCUCAGGAGAUCUGCUGCAGUUUAGCAUCUACAGCCUUGGCUCCUGCCUUGCAUAAACUGAAGCUAGCAUGGAGGCUGUAACCGAUAAUUCUCGCCAAUUCAAAGCAAACGAGUGAUGCCUUGUCUCUGUCUGCCAUGUUCAGUGCUUGGCUUAAACUGGGCAACAAGAAGUCUCUCUCUGGGCCAAGGCUACUUGCAGUCUUCUUGCACGGUAUUGGUAUUUGGUAGGGCCUCCUCGUGUAUUAAAGUUGGCUUGUCUCUAUAAUUUGGUUCUUUGGUCUAGACAAAGCAGAUGGGAUAGUGUCAUCGUGCUGCUGGAUAGUGGGAUGCGGAUGCUCGGUGUUAGGAGUUGUUGCUGUCUUGGACCCGACUUUUAUUUAGCAAUUUAAUUCAAGGAUGUACACCGCCGGGCAAUCUGGUUUCCAUGGAAUAAAUGUGUGGCGUGCUUGGUUUGCACUGCCCCCUUUUUUUUAUGAACCCCGUCAUGGUGUGGAAAAGGUAUGCCGCAAGGUGGGCAAUGUGACGCUUUGCGUGAGUCAAGUCUAUGUGACGAAAAUUACGAUGUUCAUUGGUUGCAUCGCUGGCUACUUAAUUGGCGACUUGGCGUUGGUCGGUCGCCUGCUUAGUUUCCGUUAUGUGGGCCAGGCAUGGAAAUUAUGAUCGGCUCUUUGACGUGGGGCUGUGGAUAGAUGUAGCUACAGACAUUGGAGACCAUUGGCGUCCUCUGCAUUGGACGAAGUCAUGUGCGUUUCUGCGCAAGGAAUCGACGUUUUUCUUGUGGAAUCCACAAAAGCGUGAUCCACGGUUGAGGGCCAAGUGGCCAACGGCAGCAUUUCUUCGCUCCUCCAUUUCGUUGCUGCUACCAUAGCAAACUGUCCGACGAAGAGAAACUCCCAAUUCGCGAAGCACAAAUUUAAUGGAAAACAUACACUUCACGACGAUCAGAGAACAAGGGAAGAAAAUAAAGUGGAUUGUUCUAAUCUAGAAGCACAUUCUCUGAAGCGUCCAAACAAUUACGCAUUUCGGAAGCAAUGCCAGAGUUGUCUCAAGGAUGACAGCCUCAAGAAAUAUUCCAUUUCAGAACAUGCGGGGAAAUUGGAGUUAAGAUCAGGCAAAUGACGAAAAAAAAUAUACAGCACCUUUUUUUUUUAUCUCGCAUCGUUAACCAAAUUUCAAAUUUCAGUUUUCACAACACAUCUUUGCCGAAACCCAAUACGUCAACUCAGGAGGUAAAUUACAAAAAGGAAGCAUCCUACCAGUACCAACGGAACCAAAAUCCACGAAGACGCCGGGCCGUGCCGGUCAUUCACCGCCCGUCGGCGUCUUGGGCGGCGCCGGGCCCGGCCAGACGCUGAUCCGCUCCUUCUCGUACUUGACGAACACCGUGCCGGCCGCGACGAUGGUGUACACCUGGAGGAACAGCGUGGGCGCCUGGUGGUACUUGACCAGGGACUUCCCGGAGGCGAGCUCCACCAGCAGCAGCGCGGUGAGUCCGACCGUGGCGAGCAGGCCGUUGAGCCGCUCGCUGUAGCCGGUGAAGCCGAACUCAACGGGCAGGCCGAGCGCCGACCGGGGCUCCCGCAGCGGCACGGGCGGGAGCGUCACGGCCUUGGACUCCGCCGCGGCCUUCCUCUUCCGGGCCCCGGCGCUGCCCCGCUUCUUGGGCCCGACGCGGGACUUCAUGCGCAGGACGCGCUGCUCGAACUCGUCGUCGCCGGCGGCGGUGGUGGUGGCCGUGUUGGCCGACGGCUCUGGCCCGGCGGGGGCGUCAUCGCCGGAGGUCGCGCGGGGAGGAGGGAGCGGCAGCGCAUGGAGGCGGCCGUGCCGGAGCGGGGCGGCGCGGAGGGUGGUGACGGAGAAGGGGCUGGAGAGCGGCGUCGCCAUGGCUCCCAUGGGUGCAUGCGUGCACCAGCACUCUUGAUGUUCGCGCGGCUGAGUUGUUCCCCUCGUGGUUCUGGAUAAGAUUUCAUUGGUGGAUGCGUGGCUCCGGUCGCUGCACGGGGCCGCGAAAGCUGUACGCCUGUGAAUUGUUUCUUCCGACAAAAAGGAAAAUUGGGAAUAAAAUCGAACGAAAAAUUACGAACUUGAAGAAUGAAGAACGUCGGCUGGCCCGUAACGCUAAUGCCCACUGGCCACAGCCCACGGGCCGACGAGGUCCACAAACGCAAUUUUAUGAAUCCCGAGCCUUCCUAGGCCAUCAGAUUGUUCUUCCGGUUUCCUCGGUUACGUCAGGGGACGCCUCCGGCCGCCGUCUUGGCGCUGCGAGGUGGGGGAACUUCCCUUUCUUCUAAGAAUAUACAUAAGUGUUUCACUAUUUCAAUUGUUUGGUUUCGAUCGGCAACGCAAUGGUGGAGGUUGUGAUGCCGUCGAAAACAAAGGUACUUUGGUUUUUUCUUUUGUUGUGGUGGUGUCUCAACGGACGUUGUUGCGGAGCUAGAGAUUUUUAAUUCCCGUGGGUUUAGUGUACCCGAUCUUGUGGAUAUUGGUUUAUGUACUUAGAGGUCCAUUUAUAUGUAUAUGUUGAGUUUUUGUUAGUGUGUCAUGGUGAUUUUGUUGGUUGUAUCUUUUGUAAUUUUGAAUUACUUCUCUGGUGUUCUGAUGAAGAUCUUGCGGUUCGACGACCUGCACGUUUAGGGGAUCAUCCCCGGCCCAAGUACGUUCAACGCUCAAGGCUUCUCAUCUUUUUUUAUGAGCGACUCAAGGGGUUUUCGAAACCUUGUCAAGUUCGUGCAGGGAUACCAGUAAUGAUGUUGCUGCUACAGUCUGAUUGCAGUCUCUAUGUUAAAGCCUCAACAGAAUUUCAUGUUGCAAAGUAUGAUAUCACGAAGAAGAUGUCUUUAAGAGAUUUCAUUGUAAUUCUUAAUUAUAGGAGUUACCUUAUAGUUUCUAGAGUUUAUGAUCCAAAGCAUUGUACCUGUAAUGUUUCUUGUGUUUGAAUAAACUUACAUGUUAUUCUAAAAAAAAAGUUACGUUAGGCGAGAGCUCGGUGGAACCCUAGCCGUCAAGAGCCUUCGAAUCAGCGUUCUUCUCUGACCGCCAAUUCAGCAUCGGGUGACGAGAGGAACCGUAGAUCAACAUCUGGCUGUAAGUUGUUUACCUUUUUUGUGAGGUUUCGUGUCCUCGUGACGGCAUCGUGGUGGAGGAGGCGGCGACGUAUGGAAUAAUGCUCUUCCGGCUCCAUCCUCUUUAUGGCGUAGUCAACACGAUAACUCCAUGGAGCUAGUGGAUCUCGCGGUUUGUAUUUUCGUUAUUUUGGUCUUCUUUCUAGUCGUUCAUUAAUACUUUUUGUUGUUGCUUUUCGUUUCAUUUUCGAUCACUUUUACUUUGUUCAUCGAAUCAAUAAAGCCAGGUGUUUCUAAAAAAAAAAUCAGAUUCUUUAACUUCUUCUUAAAAAAAGAAAAUCAAAUUUAACAUGCGUGUUGUAAUUCGCCUAAGUGAAGGUGCCCACUGGAGUAGAUUCAGACUCCACAUAAAUCAAACAAAAACAAAGAACAUAAUUGAAAAACCCUUAACUGACAAACACGUUCGCUGAACGAAAGCAACUCAUCAGCGUGCCGCACCACGGUAAGAGAAUCAGAAUCGCCGCGCCUCCCUAUAGCCUCCAGCUCCUUCCAUGCGCCCGCCGCGUGCCUAAAUGGCCGUGCCGCACUCUUCUUCUCCAAGAAUGGCAGAGCGCCUAUAACGCCCUAGCGUCACCCUGACAGCUCUCUAGACUCAAAACUGUCAUGUUUGCCAUGCCCUCACAACUGAGGCCACCAAGCUGCCACCAAUAAUAGCUCUCGUAAACCCUAACCAAAAUAUUCUCUCCUGAACCGACGAACACUCAAAAAGAAAAACUUACAGCACCAGAUUCAGAGAACCAAAGGGAAGAAGUGGGAAAUCAGAAUAGAGCAGAAGUGUGUGGAAGAAGAGAGGAUGGACCGAUGGACCGACUUGUGGAAGGCAUGUCGGUCAGCAUGCCAUCCACUGACAGUGGGUCUCGCGGACAAACACAACCAACGCUGGAAAAAAGAACGAGCGGGUGUAGCUAGAGGGCAUCAAAUUCUUCCCCUUCGGGAUUGAGAUUUGUUUUUGGCGGGGGUUGAGAAUUAUUGACCGCACCGCACGUACAUGAGCAUGCUCCAUGACUUCAGCACGAUCUAUCGGUCUAUCCGAUUUAAUGGCGACUUGAUUGCCCUCUUUCGGUCAGUUUAUCUAAACCCUUUCACGGUGCUGAAGUUUACAUGGAGUAUGUUUCGGGGCCACGCAUCUCCGGCUUGUGCACGCACGACGGCUUAUUUGGGCGUCCAUCCUCGUGGAUGACCUACCCGAGCAAAUAUGCUAUCAGGAACGAAGCAGCAGAUCUGCUCAGCCUCAGAGUAGUACUAGCAGGCUGGCUUUGUUUAGGCUGGAGGUUAACUCAAGCCAGCUGUAGCCGGAAAAAGCUAAUUUUCUGCUGGAGCUGGAAGGCUGGAGUUGGAUCUGACUUGCUGUUCGUUUAGGGUAGCAGUGAAACUGCGGCUCUAGCUGGAUGCCAGUGGAAUGUCUGAAAUGCCCUAUUUGCUGCAAAUUUUAAUCAAAUGCUGAGUUUGCUGAUGUAAAUGCAAAUACCAAAUUUAAGAGUUGUUUAAAGUGUAAAGUACCUAAUUUUGAUGGGAUUUACAUGAGAUCGUGUGUUUUGGAAGAUUCAGCGAGAGUUGCUAUUUCAUAGAGUACUCCCUCCAUUUCACAAAAAAUGGACCACGCUUUUCGAGGUCGAACUUUGACCAACGAUUAGACCAAUUGUAUGUAGAUUAUAUGUUACAAAUUUUAUAUCGUUGGAAAAAAAUUUAAAAUACGAAUCCAAUAAUAUGAUUUUUAUAACACAUAAGCCUCAGAACGGUGAACUUCACUGCAGACAGAGAGCAAGCAAUGAAGAUGUAUUCUAACAUACAAAUACAUUUGCACUGCACAUUUAACUAAUACGGUUCAGAUCUACUAGUACAGAAGUACUACUCCAAUAAAACGAGGACGGGGAUCGGAGGCGGGGCUGCUCGUUCGCUUGGCAUGAGCGGAGGCUGAGGACGGGGAGGCUUGGGAUGAGGCAGACGACGGAGAGGGACCAGCGGCACAGAGGAGGCGCGGAGGGGGUUGAUGGAGGGCGUUGACGAGGCGGAUCCCGCAGGGGCGGGCCGGUGAAGCGCCCGGGCGGGGCUGGUCCGGCUGGAUCUGGAUGAGUCUUGGCGACGCAGAUCUCAGGCGGCCCAGGCCGCGUUCGGAUGGUUCCGGGCGGACGACGGGGACGCGGAGGAUGGCGAGGCCUUGGUCGGGAGGCUCUGAGGCAAGCUGGCGGAGGAUGGCUGGGAAGGGGCUGAGGUGCGCCGACGGCGUCCCGGUGUCACCCGGACCCUGGCGCGGCCGUCGCUCGCGAAGAGGAGGGUAGGAAAUCGUGGAAGGACUGAGAGCAUCUCCAAUCCAAGAGGUUCCCUGGAACUAAUUUCCUAAAAUCCUAAAAUCAGUUUCAGGGACAGGAGAGAGAAGGAUUUCUAAGAAAAAAUGUGCUCCUUUCCAACAGGUUUCCUAAAGUGGUUCUCUAUAUCUUGCUUCUUGUCUCACUGUUGAAGCGGAUCCAUUUGUCAGCCACAGGAAAGCUGUCUUCUUCCUCCCCAUGCUACUCCAGCACAGCGCCACCCCCCAAGCCCAAAGCCGAUGCUCCCCUUCCCGUCGCGCGAGCCAGCCGCCGCGCCCCUUGCCCGCUGCUCAUCCGCGAACCUGC
rnacentral:lncRNA from 1 species